rnacentral:rRNA from 1 species
GACGAACGCUGGCGGCGUGCUUAACACAUGCAAGUCGAACGGAGAGGCGCCUCCCUUUUUGGGUGGUCGAGUGGCGUACCGAAGGGUUACGUAUGACUAGCGUACCCUUCCCUCUGGUAUUGCUUCACCGCACUGGAGUGAAGCUCGUACAGGAGCUCCUGCUGCUUUCUCAUGAUGGGUCUGGGUCGGCGGUUGGGGCUGGAUGCGCGGCUCUUCAGCCCGUUGGUGGGGUAGUGGCUUACAUAGGCUUCGACGGGUGGCCGGCCUGAGAGGGUGACCGGCCACAUUGGGACUGAGAUACGGCCCAGACUCCUACGGGAGGCAGCAGUGGGGAAUAUUGCACAAUGGGCGGAAGCCUGAUGCAGCAACGCCGCGUGCGGGAUGACGGCCUUCGGGUUGUAAACCGCUUUCGCCUGUGACGAAGCGUGAGUGACGGUAAUGGGUAAAGAAGCACCGGCUAACUACGCG